GACGAACGCUGGCGGCGUGCUUAACACAUGCCAGUCGAACGGAAAGGCCCUGCUUGCAGGGUACUCGAGUGGCGAACGGGUGAGUAACACGUGGGUGAUCUGCCCUGCACUUCGGGAUAAGCCUGGGAAACUGGGUCUAAUACCGGAUAGGAGCCAUUUUUAGUGUGAUGGUUGGAAAGUUUUUUCGGUGUAGGAUGAGCUCGCGGCCUAUCAGCUUGUUGGUGGGGUAAUGGCCUACCAAGGCGGCGACGGGUAGCCGGCCUGAGUGGGUGGACGGCCACAUUGGGACUGAGAUACGGCCCAGAAUCCUACGGGAGGCAGCAGUGGGGAAUAUUGCACAAUGGGCGCAAGCCUGAUGCAGCGAAGCCGCGUGGGGGAUGACGGCCUUCGGGUUGUAAACUCCUUUCGCUAGGGACGAAGCUUUUUGUGACGGUACCUAGAGAAGAAGCACCGGCUAACUACGUG
rnacentral:rRNA from 1 species